GGCGGCCACGCUGUGAGGGAAAGGCCCCGCGUCCCGCGGUGGCUGUGUGGAGGGAAGGGCGUGCCGCUUCGAGGCGCGGGGGAACGGUCGUGAGGGGAGCAGCGAGGCGGGUGGGCUUUGUCCCGUGUGCUCUUCGGGAACAGGGCCAUGUCAGCACGGCGGCGGGCCCAGGCACAGCCCCUGCCCUUACUCCUGCAUCCCAGGGCCGCCAUGUCCUGUGCUGAGGAGCUGGGAGGCUGGUGGGGAAGGGAAAGGGGUCCCCGACCCCUGCCUCCAGCAAGCAGAGCGGGGAUGCCGCUGGGGUACGGGUGUGCUCACCAAAGUAGGACAGCCUUUGCCACGAGCAAAGCUUGCUUUGCUUUCUGCUCUGCAUCUUAAGUCACUGAAGGCUUGUGCAUAGGUAAGAGGCAAAGCCACGCUUCUGGGAUGAGGGACCACGCUGCCCUGCCCAAGUAAUAAGCUAGAAAACAGCACAAGCACAGCUAUUUAGCUUGCUGUGUUUGCAAGUGCCUGGGAUACAAAUGAGGCGCAGCAGACUGUACUAAUGAGAUUGCCAGAAGCCAGUCUGGGGAGUGAGGAACUGUUCUGGGGACAUUUACUCCCAGACUGGUCACCCUGCCUGCCCGCAGCUGUGAUCAAUUCCCCAGUAACCUUCACCAGGUUAAUUUGCAACAUAACUGACAGGAAUCCAAACACCUCAGUCAGCUGAGGCAAAGAAAAUACUCCUAUUUUCUCCCCAGCUUAGCAUUCAUUUUCACUAUGACAAAUGGGUGUCCAGGUCUCUUCACGCAUGGUACACUGGAUUUGUGCCAGAAUCUUUGCCAGGUUUAGUCUCCGAUUGCAAAUGGAGCAUGCAAGAGAUUAACAACCCUAUGGAUUUAAUCUAAGGCUUUCUGAAAUGCUUCUCCCACAUGUGCAAGCAAAGCAAUCAGCUGCUGGCUGGAACGUUCAGAGGCACGGGGCUUGGUGUGAGCUGCGUGUCUCCAGGUGUCAUGGAGAUAUUAAAAAGCUGUCCCGUACCUUUGCUGGCAAGCUGGGUGCUUACAGACCUUGAACUGAAUGAGCACCACAUCUUGCUACAGCUGGUCCAGAGCUGUGCAAGCAGCUAUUGAGCCACCAGCAGUCCAGUUACAUCACGCAAUGGGGUCCUGUCCCCAAGACCUGCUGUUUGCUCCUGUCCCUGUUCUGCCCCCUUGCUUGGGCUGCUGCAGCACCCCGGGCUCACCCUGUGAAUCGGACCAGGUGACUGACACAGGAUUCCUGGAUGAAAUAUGCAUGGAAAAUUCCAAGGCAUGGAAUCUGAUCAAAUCGAUCUGUUUUCAACUUGGAUACCCGCCCAGCUAGACGCCUGAGAGCUUUUCUCCCAGAUGAGCUCAUCUCUACCGUACUGACGCAGAAGAAUUUGAUACCACCAUUUUAAGGUUUUUCUAAAACAGUACGAAGUCAAAGACAGCCUGAGGAGCAAACCUUGGCACACAGUACCAUAGAUCUGUCAGACUGUCCACUAGAUGGAAGUGUUAUCUGGUCCCUGUGUGGGCGAUGUACAAAUCAUCUAUUGCAACACGGGCAGAAACGUCCCACAGAUGGGAGAGCCUGCAAAAGUCCCACUCAGAAUGCCUUCCUGUCUGCUUCCAGCUCUCUCAGGUCCCAUUUGAGCUGAGCAGCACGGUAAGGGGACCAACCCCUUAAGGCACAUGUUUGCCCAUGGCAUGCUGCAGUGCAAUGUGGAAUUUUUUGUGUUAUGUCACAGGAAUUGCCCAGAGACUUAGUGCUGUGUGAACAGUGAGGCCAGGGAAUGAAAACGCUCAAUGAAAAUCCAGCAGAAGAUGAUAUUUUGUUCAGCUUCUCCAGCGACUGUCAUUGCCUGAAACCUAAGAGACACUUUUGUCUGUUUCUGCCUUGCCUGUCUGUCCUUUUUGUCUGUUUCUGCCAUGUUCUCCCUAAUUAUUUCUUUAUUCCUUUCCUCUUUUUUCAUGUUUUUUUUUCCAAAAGAUCAAGUUCUGUAUAAGCACUGUGUUAUUUUACUAAUGCUCCCUUCCACAGAUAUCAAUCUACUGAGCCAGCAAACUCGUUCUCAGGGAGAAGUCCUCCUCAGACACGACAGGGAAGAGCAGCACUGCUGCAGUGCAUGUAGCCACAGUGAGAAACUGAGAGGUCAGGGAUGAAGGACAUUAAGUGCAUAAAGCACUGAACCACAUAACUGUGCCUCACGCAGUGUCUUUGCAGCGGUUUUCUGGAUUAGCAGCAAGGAGGUCCUCGGAGCAGGAGCAUGCAAAGGGACUGACAAACACUACUGACUGCUACCUACAUGGGGCUUCGGCUUUUUCCUAGGCUUUAGCUUCACUGCCCCAACCACCUCUGGGUCCUGCGCAGAUGCUCCUUCAGCCAUAACUGCCCUGUGCUCUCCUGGCAUGUUCUUCGUUCCCACAGUUGAAUUAUUUUUUGGUUUUGAUAAUCCUUCCAGAUUAGCUUGGCUCUUUAAGCAAUUGCUUUUACCUUUGUCUCCUUGUUAACAUUCUCCACACCCUCUUUUUCCUGUGCUCUUGUCUCAGGUCCCAUCAUGUUUACCUUCAAUUGGAAAUGGCCUGGGGCUAGGGAGUAUGUGUAAUUAUGAAAUGGAUGAUUAAAUCUCAUUACUCUGUAGCAAUUACAGUUAAUAGUGUUCUUAAGAAGCCAGAAGAAUAUGUAUUGAAUCAUUGAUGAUAUAUGGAAAGGCAAGAAUUCUUAUAUGACAUUCUAUCUUUAAGAAAUCAGUCUUAAAGCUUGGUUGUUGUCUAAACCCUUGAUAUGUCCCUUAUAAUCUUAUGCUGCAUUUACUCUAGGAAUAAAAGUCUGUUUGUGGCACAUUGCAACAUUGGAUUGUUUACUACAGAACACCAUGUACUGCUAAAACUGUGAUUGAAACAGUAAAUUUUAAGUGGCAUGGAUGGAAAAAAUGAUGGGAUCAAGAGCCCUACCCACAGUCAAUUGACAUCAUCAUCAAUCUAAGGCAGCCUUAUUUUUCUAAGCUACUAUUUCUUUAGUUGUCAGCAGGGCAGAUGCAGUCGUCUGAGAGAGGAGCAUUAAGCAAAAAUGUUAGCAACACACUUUGAAGUCUCACAGUGUACUGGGAAAAAAAGCUUGUCCUUAUCACAGCUGGUAAGGAUUAACAGCAGCAACUUUGAUGUAAAGUACCCUGCACCCACAAGCUUCUAUAUUUUCUUGGAUUUUUUUUAAGAGCUAAAUAUUUGGAGGAAUCAUUUGGCACUUCAGCAUAUGAUUAAACCCAUUUGUUGUGACACAAGGCCUACUUGCUUUCAACAGAGUAGGUGUGGAGGCAUCUCUGUUCCAUAGCAGCUGUUGCUCACUGCUCAGGUCCUCCCACUUCCAUGCUGCUUUGCUGAGUCCCCAUCUUUUCACCUGCAUUUCCUCAGCGAUGACAGGUCUUCUGAGGCAACUGCAGCUUCCCUGUCUGAGUGCACAACACCGGGAUUUUUCCUCUUUGACUUUUGUUUUCCCAUGUUACCAAACUUUGGAUGACCCUGAAGCUUCACCUUUCCUGGUAGCUGGGGCUGACCAAUCUCGGGGAGACAGAAACUGUGGUUGGUCGUUGUGUAUCUAAAUGGGUAUCAUAACAAGGGCAAGGUAGUGGAAGGGUGGGGUUUAGCUAGAAUAACGGUGUAAUACAAAAAACUCUGGCAAAAAAGAAUGUUAACAACAAAAGGGCUUUAGGAACGUGUGCAAGGUACUCAGUUACAAAGGGAAAUAGAUGAGAGCUCACCACCAGCUGUCACAUUUUGUAGAUCUCCUAAUUAUUGCUCAAGUCACUGGGCCCCAAUUUGCACAAAAUAAAUAAAUAAAUAAAAUGGUCUUCUCUCCCUCUUUUCUCUGUCUUUUUGGACUGUAAUGUUAGCAUAAUGAAAGGAGAAGACAAAGACAAGAUUGGGAAAUAUCAGGUGAAGAGACAGUCCACCUCACAUUUCCCCCUGUACUGCCCAACUGAAGCACUGAGGCUUUAUUUUAAAAUCUCAAGAUGUUUCGUGGCUGGGGUGAUCCAGCAGGGAAGUAUGCUGGGGUGUGUAAGCCCUGCUUGCCCAACCACUCCUGCUGGUCCAGCGAUAGGGCGACAGAAAACCUGCAAAAAAUGUUCUCUAAGAUAUUUGUAUAGCCUAGGUAUGGUCACAAAGCAUGGGUCAUGC